AUACGGAGGGUGCAAGCGUUAAUCGGAAUUACUGGGCGUAAAGCGCGCGUAGGCGGUUUGUUAAGUUGGAUGUGAAAUCCCCGGGCUCAACCUGGGAACUGCAUUCAAAACUGGCAGGCUAGAGUAUGGUAGAGGUAAGUGGAAUUCCGGGUGUAGCGGUGAAAUGCGUAGAUAUCCGGAGGAACAUCAGUGGCGAAGGCGGCUUACUGGACCAAUACUGACGCUGAGGUGCGAAAGCGUGGGGAGCAAACAGGAUUAGAAACCCCGGUAGUCC
rnacentral:rRNA from 1 species